rnacentral:rRNA from 1 species
AGUGAACGCUGGCGGUAGGCCUAACACAUUCAAGUCGAACGGCAGCACAGUAAGAGCUUGCUCUUACGGGUGGCGAGUGGCGGACGGGUGAGGAAUACAUCGGAAUCUACUUUUUCGUGGGGGAUAACGUAGGUAAACUUACGCUAAUACCGCAUACGACCUACGGGUGAAAGCAGGGGAUCUUCUGACCUUGCGCGAUUGAAUGAGCCGAUGUCGGAUUAGCUAGUUGGCGGGGUAAAGGCCCACCAAGGCGACGAUCCGUAGCUGGUCUGAGAGGAUGAUCAGCCACACUGGAACUGAGACACGGUCCAGACUCCUACGGGAGGCAGCAGUGGGGAAUAUUGGACAAUGGGCGCAAGCCUGAUCCAGCCAUACCGAGUGGGUGAAGAAGGCCUUCGGGUUGUAAAGCCCUUUUGUUGGGAAAGAAAAGCAGCAGGUUAAUACCCCGCUGUUCUGACGGUACCCAAAGAAUAAGCACCGGCUAACUUCGUG